rnacentral:rRNA from 1 species
UGAGGAGAUUGGCUGCCUGGCUCUCCGGGUACAGGGAUUAGGGUCGAUUCUGGAGUGGAGCCUGAGAACGGCUACUACAUCUACGGAAGGCAGCAGGCGCGUAAUUACCCAAUCCUUGCUCUAUGGAGGUGGUGAGAAGAUAUAACAACGCAAUUUCAUUGUGAUUGUAGUGAGGGUAUUCCAUACCGAACCACUAGUACGAUUAGAGGGCAAGUCUGGUGCCAGCAGCCGCGGUAAUUCCAGCUCCCACCAGGUAUAUUAAAGUUGCUGCAGUUAAAAAGCUCGUAGUUGGAUUUCAAGGAUUGUGUACUCUCUCAGAGUAUGCACCCUACCAGUCUUUGACUGUUACUGUGAGAAAAUUAGAGUGUUUAAAGCAGGCUACUGCAAGAUACAUUAGCAUGGAAUACGAAUGUAUCUAGAAUCUUGUUUAAUCUCUUUGUUUCGAUUAUAGAGACAGCGGGGGCACAGGAGGGAGAGCAGAGGAGAAAUACAUGGAUUGAUAAAGACCACCGCACGCCCAACCACCCGCCAAGGAUGUUUUCGUUAUCAGGAGCGAACGACAGGGAUCACGACAUCAGAUACUGUCGUAGUCUAUCUAUAACUAUGCCGACUAGGAUUGAUGCAUUUACCAUUUCAGUACCUUAUGAGAAUCAAAGCCUUGGUCCUGGGGGGAGUUGUCCCAUAUCUUAUCUCUCAUCGUACUUGACGAGAACCACAGGAUGGACCGCGGCUUAUUGACUCACACGGAACUUACAGUCGAACUAUAAGAUGCGAUGAAGCCUUUCUGAUCUGGGGGGGCAUGC